rnacentral:rRNA from 1 species
AUGGCGCUCUCCCGCCGCAUUCUCCUCUUCGUCUCCCUCGUCGCCAUGACGGCGGUCACCGGCACCUCCGAGAUCAUCGUGACCCAGUGCUACCCGCCGCCCACGCCCACUGUCAACGGCAGCACCAGCGCGUUCCGCCGCGAUCUCCUCUCGCUACUCGACGCCCUCCCCUCGGCCGCCGCGCCGACGGGCUUCGCCUCCAUGCGGACCGGCGGCGCGUUCGCCCGCGGCCUCUGCUUCGGCGACCCCGCGCCAGACCCGUGCUUCCGCUGCCUGUCUGACGCCGGCAGGAAGAUCACCGACCUGUGCGGAGACGUCAACCGGCGCGCGGGCUUCCUGAUCGACGGCUGCUUCCCGGGCUACGCGGACACCAACGCGUCCUCCGCCGGCGCGGACGACAACGACAUCAGUGGCGUGACAUUCUCCGGCGACGCCCUCCGGCGCUUCGACAACGUCGACGUGCAGAAGCUCGUGGCCGUGGCGCGGUCCCUGGUCCCGCGGUCCGCGAACGGCCAGGUGGCCGCCGCCGACGCGACUGCCACGGCGAGCAACGGCGACACGGUGCGCAUGCUGGCACAGUGCGCGACGGACAGCGAGCCGGCGGAGUGCGCCCGGUGCCUGCAGGAUUCGUCGCUGCAGAUGGCCAAGAGCUGGAGGCUCACGCUCACCGCCGACGCCGUGCAAGGAAGCGUGGCCGCGGUUCUGGGCUCGAACUGCUACCUCCGCUUCGAGAUAUCGGCACCGCCGCUGCCCGUGAGAGAGAAGAGGAGGAGGUUCGUAAAGGAUAACAUCGUCCUGACUGUGUGCAUUGGCUUCAUCGUCACGGCGGCGAUCGUCAGGCUGGUAGUUCAUGUCUGCGCUGUUGCUGCUGCUGACUGGCUCGGGAAUGCUGCUGGUGCACCAGCGGCGGAAGGGAAGCCAUGA